rnacentral:sRNA from 1 species
CCGGGACCCGCAGUUCCAGGGUCUUUUCCAAUACCUGCUGCGCCCCAAGGCCAGCGGCACCACUGAGAGGUAGGGGGCCCUCGGGCCAGGGGGCCACCGGGGGCUCAGAGAGCCAGGCCACAGCCACUGGGGUGGGGCUUGCUGCUCGGCCCUAGGCUGCGGCCAGGGUGCUUUGUGCCCCAGACAAGGCUGCGUCCCCGCCCUGGGGAGCAACUGUGAUCACCAUUAUGGAGGCCCUGCUUCUGCAACACGGGUCUGCCAGGUGCAGGGCCUGGUCUCAGCUGCCCACAUCAACCCUGAUAAGCCUGGGGGUCAGCCCUGUGGGUGCUCCAUUUUGCAGAUGGACAAACCGAGCCUGACCCCAGGAAACAGGAGGUCUGGGACUGGCCCACAGGCCUCCUGUCCUCAGCCCACGCCAGCCUUUGUCCCAGUGGCUCUGCUGUCCCUGGUGCGCUGAUGCCAGGGGUCUCCCCAAACCCAGGGGAGCAGGAGGUCGUGAGAGGCGAUGAACGAGGAUUGGAGUGGGCUCAGCUGUGCGAGAGGGAGCAGUGGCAACGUGGCCCCAGCGCCUGGCCCUGGCCUGCGGCACCAGGUAGGGGAGCGGGCGGCACUCAUGGCCACGCUGUGUCCUCAGGUUGGCGCCGCUCCACCAGCUGUUGCAGCCCAUGGCCGGCUGUGCCCGCGUGGUCCAGUGUGCCGAGGCCGUGCCCACGCUGCUGCAGGCAUUCUUCUCAGCAGUGACCCAGGUGGCUGAUGGGGCCCUGAUCAACCAGCUGGCAUUGCUACUCCUGGGCAGAAGCGACUCACUCUACCCGGCCCCGGGUUACGCGGCCCGUGUGCACAGGUGGGUCCCUCCUGCGCCCCUGCCACAGCCCUGGGCAGGUGCCUCCUGGACCCCUCCCCCUCCCCUUUCCCUGCAGUGGCUUCAGCUCCACCCCUAGCUGGGCCCUCAGCAGCCUCAAACCCUGCCACCCCCACCCACAGCCCCACGCCCAACCCUGGGCACUUCCUCUCUGCCUCUCAAGAACAUUCCCGUCCUUCCCUCUGCCGAGCCUGUCAGCUUCAGGGUUGGCUGGAGCCCCUCUUCCACAUCCUGUCCCCGGGGGUCCUUCUCUCCAAAGGCCUGAUGCAUGCAGGCCCAUCCUGGUUCCACUCUGAGCCCGGGCCUGAGGCCAGUGCCAGUGCCAGCCUUCUCCCCAGUGAGAAGAACAGUUCCUCUAGGGCUGGCAGUCGUCUGUGUUCCCCUAUCUGAGGGUGCAGCAUACACCUGCCACUCAGACACGUCCCGGGUCCCUCCAGGGGCUUGGCCUGAAUGGGGUGGCCGGGGUGGGGAUGGGGUCAGAGGUCUGCCCAGAGCAGGCGUGGACCCGGCUCUCUGGGCAGUGUGCUGAGUUCCCAGUUCCCGGCCCUGUGUACGCUAAAGCCCUCCCUGGUGGUGGAGCUGGCGAGAGACCUGCUGGAGUUCCUGGGCAGCGUGAACGGUCUCUGCAGCAGGGCGAGCCUCGUCACCAGCGUGGUGUGGGCCGUCGGCGAGUACCUGUCGGUGACCUACGAUCGGAGGUGCACUGUGGAGCAGAUCAACAAGUUCUUCGAAGCCCUGGAGGCCCUGCUAUUCGAAGUCACCCAGUGCCGCCCCUCUGCUGCCCUGCCCAGGUGUCCCCCCCAGGUAGUCACCGCGCUGAUGACCACGCUGACGAAGCUGGCCUCCCGGAGCCAAGACCUGAUCCCCAGGGCCUCUUUGUUGCUGUCAAAGAUGAGGACCCUGGCUCAGAGUUCAGCCACCAGCUCCACACACAGCAAGGAGGGCGCAGAAGCCAUCCGUACCCGGGCCACAGAGCUGCUGACCCUGCUGAAGAUGCCCAGCGUGGCCCAGUUUGUGCUCACACCCAGCACAGAGGUGUGCAGCCCCCGGUAUCACCGCGAUGCCAACACGGCCCUGGCCCUGCGCACGGUCAGCCGGCUGGUGGAGAGGGAGGCCGGCCUCCUGCCAGGGUGAAGGGACAGUGGCCAGGGACGCCGGUGCAGAUUAAGAGCCUGGGGUGGCCAGCUUGCUACAGAGGCCAGGCUGAUAGGAACUCAGGAGGGCGCGGGAGUCCUGGGAGAAGAGGCAAAGCCCAGGGUGGGCUUGGCACCCUCAGAGACACGCGGGGCUGGCCCCCUGCUCACCCUCUGGGCUUUGUCUCCGAGCCUUUUGCUCCCAGGCAACACUGAGCUGAGCUGAGGGGAGCCAUGGAGCGGCUCUGAUUGGAGGCUGAGGCCCUGUGGCUGGGCUGGGUGGAGGCUGCUGGGUCUGUUUCCUAGUCUUUGUUUUUGGACAGUUGAGGGGCUGGAAGAGCUGCAGUAAAAAUAAAUCUCCUUU